GUUUUUUCUUUUUUUUUCUUUUUUCUUUUUCUUUUUCUUUUUUUUUUUGGCCCUACUAGUUUCCUUUUCUACUAUAGGUUCCAGUAUAUAUGUGUAUGUGAAUACACACUCACACACAUUCACAUACAUACAACUCUCACAAACAUACACAAAAAUACAUGUAUAAUUUGUAUAAGAGCUGGGGUCAGAAUGACCAUAUAAUUAUAUUGGUUUGCUUUGUUAUUUGCCCGUUCUCAAGUCAUUCUAAUUCUUGUUUCAGAAUAUGAUAGAGCUUAUUCCAGUUUGGAAUCUGCAGAUCCCUUCCACUUAGUACUGUUAAUGAAAACAGAACCCUUUUAACAAGUAAUACUACCAUGCUACUUUGGAAACUGCCUAGUACCCAAAAUAUUUGAUAUGCUUUUUGAGUUGGAUACUUAAAUGCACCAACCAAAGCAAUGUUUUGAUUGGCUAUAAUUUGUAUUUUUGAAACCAUUUACAACAAACAUUCUCAAGAAGAGUUUGUAUGUCAAAAGUCAUUUAGGUUUUAAAGUCUUUUGAUCUUUUCUUACUAUAUACAAUCAGUCUGCAGAGACUGUUAUGUGUCUGUUUGCCUUUGUACAUAUAUAUAGCUUGUUUGAAUAAUCAUUGUGCAUCUCCAUUAAUGUUGUUCUUUGCUUUGUAUAUAAAUUAAAAGAGUUGACCCAGGUGUUGUUA
rnacentral:lncRNA from 1 species